GCUCGCACCCCCUCCCCUCCUCUCCCGCCCACCUGGCCCGCCCCGCCCCCCUUUCCGAUCCCUCCCCUCCUCCGGGACCCCGGGCGCGCCCCAGCCGGCCCCCGCACCUCGCUGACGGCCCGCCGAGACAACGCGCCCCCUCUUCCCGCUCCGGUGGCUGAUUUUCGGAGGAGAGGAAAUUUCACUUUUUCACGGCCGCCGCCGACCCCGCCCCUGCCUUCAGCCCCAUCCCCUUCCCGAGCAGGGCUGAUUUCUACCUCCUGGUGCGGGUGUCUGGGGAGGCGGUGUUGCCAUGGUUUGCCUUGACCUUGGCAAAGGAGGGGAGGGAUAUUGCCCUGGCUUAAGCUACGUUUGAGCUUCCUCGGGUUUCCUUGGCUCCCUGGACCCAGCCCUCGGUGAUAUCAUUUGCCACAUUUUCCUUGGGUGAGCCUGGCUUUCCCGCCUGAACGUAAGUUACCCAGGGGCUGACACCUGGCCUCAUUCAUAUGUGUACCCCCAAAGCCUAGCCCAGAGCAGGUGCAUGAUCAAUUCUUAGUGCCAGGCAUGGCUCUAAACCCCAAGCACGGAUUGCCUCACUUCGACUCCCCUGUUCCUCGUGAGGAACACGAGCUUUUAGUCACUUUGGUUUGGUGAGUGUCAGGUAAAGAAGAGAAUCACCCAAGAAUGUGUCAUAGGAGGACUGAGACCGAGUUGGGACAGUCGAAAAGAAUGAACCCAGAAUACAGUUUUAUUCGUUUGGUUUUGGUUAAGUCAAACCGUGAAACACGGAAAAUACACAGACUGUACCAUUCACAGGAUGAACAGCCACUUGCAUUUGUCCAAAAUGUGUAAUACACAACCACGGCAGAAGAGGAAAGGAGGCAUUCAGAGAUACGCAAUGUCAAUGCAGAGCCAACCCAGGAAGAUCUAGGCCAACACAUGAGAAAAAGACCGAGAGAAGUUAAGUACAUGAUGAAGGCCCUUGGCAUUUCUAGAGCUCCUUUUCAAAAUGUAGCAUGUAUCAUGCAGUGGUUUGUACAAGAAGAUUAGAAGGUCAACAUUCCAGAGGUCUCCUCAGGGCUGUUCCCCUAGUUCACUGAGUGACUUUGGGCAAGCCAUUAAUUUCUCCAGCCUCAUAACCUGAUCUGGAAAACAGAGAUAAACGGCACCAGCCUCACUGCCACAGUCUGUUGAAGUCUCUGGAUAGGAUGUGUGAAGAGGGCAGCGUCUUAUGUUGAAAGUGCUUUGCCGAUGCUAAUUAAUCCUCGCAGCGCCCCCACGCCCUGUCAUAUCGUCCACUUUGCACAGCUGAGGGACCUGAAACAGAAAGCCUGAGCAACUUGUCCAAAGACACAGAAGUCUGCAUCGGAACAGGGGGGAUUAGCAGGCGACAGCAGUGGCAUCCGAAGAGGCGAGAUUUUCACUUCACUCAUAAAAUACAAUGAAAUUGCAUCUGGAAUGUUUUCAUUUUGAAGACAUAGUUUCUGUGUCAGUGGAUUCUAAGGCAAAGAAAAAAAACAGUCACAUUUGUGUGUGUGUGUGUGUGUGUGUGUGUGUGUGUGUGUGUGUGGCAGCAGUUUAGGGACUCCUUUCUUUGGCUGGUGACUGUAAUUAGCUGCACACAGCAAUUCUACCUCUAUCUCACUGGCCAGAGCUUAGUCACAUGCCCUGGGCUUCACAAAGAGAUGGGGAAGUGUAGGUUUUAUGCAAGGCAGCCACGAGCCAGGCUAAGUGUGGGAGUCGACAGCAAAGGCAGA
rnacentral:lncRNA from 1 species